UGGCGGCGUGCCUAAUACAUGCAAGUCGAGCGAAUGGAUUAAGAGCUUGCUCUUAUGAAGUUAGCGGCGGACGGGUGAGUAACACGUGGGUAACCUGCCCAUAAGACUGGGAUAACUCCGGGAAACCGGGGCUAAUACCGGAUAACAUUUUGAACCGCAUGGUUCGAAAUUGAAAGGCGGCUUCGGCUGUCACUUAUGGAUGGACCCGCGUCGCAUUAGCUAGUUGGUGAGGUAACGGCUCACCAAGGCAACGAUGCGUAGCCGACCUGAGAGGGUGAUCGGCCACACUGGGACUGAGACACGGCCCAGACUCCUACGGGAGGCAGCAGUAGGGAAUCUUCCGUAAUGGACGAAAGUCUGACGGAGCAACGCCGCGUGAGUGAUGAAGGCUUUCGGGUCGUAAAACUCUGUUGUUAGGGAAGAACAAGUGCUAGUUGAAUAAGCUGGCACCUUGACGGUACCUAACCAGAAAGCCACGGCUAACUACGUGCCAGCA
rnacentral:rRNA from 1 species